rnacentral:lncRNA from 1 species
UUGUGCUUCCUGGAUUUGUGUGAGUGAUUUCUUCCCCAUGUUAGGGAAAUUUUCGGCUAUUACCUCUUGGAAUAUUUUUUCUGUCUCCUUCUCUCUCUCUUCUCCUUCUGGCAACCCUAUAAUACGAAUGUUGGUGCGUUUCACGUUGUCCUAGUGUUCUCUGAGACUCUCUUCAUUUCUUUUCAAUCUUUUUUCUCUUUUCUGUUCUGCAUCCAUAAUUUCCACUAAUCUGUCCUCCACCUCGCUUAUUUGUUCUUCUGCCCCCUGUAUUCUGCUGUUAGCUGCUUCUAGUGCAUUUUUUAUUUUAGUUAUUGCAUAUCUCAUCUCUUCUUGUUUAAGUUUUAUAUCUUGUAUCUCUUUGCUCGGUGUUUCUUGUAAGUUAUCCAACUUUGCCUCCAGUUUAUGUCCAAUGUCUUGUAUCAUCUUCAGCAUCAACAAUCUAAAGUCUUUUUCCUGAAGGCUGAGAAUCUCCUCAUGGCUUAGCUGUUUUUCUGGGGUUUUUCCUUUCUCCCUCAUCUGAGUUAUAGUCCUCUGUCUUUUCAUGUUUAUAGGUUUUUGGUGUGGUGACCUUUUUACAGAUAAUAGAGUUGUAGCCUCUCUUACUUCUGAUGUCUGGACCCCUGUGGCUGAUGUCAGUAUGGGGGCUUGGUGUAGGCUUCCUGAUGGGAGGGGCUGAUACCUGCCCCCUGGUCGGAGGAGUGGAUUCUAAUCCCUCUGGUGGGUGGGGCUUAGUCUCUGGAUGGGAUUAGAGGCAGCUGUGUGCCUGAGGGGUCUUUAGGUAGCCUGUUUACUGAGGGCUUUGCUUCCAAUGUCCUUCCCUCACAACAAGCCACAUUCACCCCUGUUUUCUCAGGAUGUCCUCCAAGAACUGCAGUCAGGCUUGACCCAGAUUCCCUUGGAGACUUUGCUUUGCCCUGGGACUCAGUGCACGUGAAAGUCUGUGUGCACCUUUUAAGAAUGGGGUCUCUGUUUCCCCCAGUCCCGUGGAGUUCCUGGGCACAAGCCCCACUGGCCUUCAAUGCCAGAUGCUCCGGGGCUCUUUCUCCCAGUGCCAGAUCCCCACAUGUGAGAGUUUGAUGUGUGGCUCAGAACUCUCACUCCU